UGAGGAAUAUUGGUCAAUGGGCGCUAGCCUGAACCAGCCAAGUAGCGUGAAGGAUGAAGGCUCUAUGGGUCGUAAACUUCUUUUAUAUAAGAAUAAAGUGCAGUAUGUAUACUGUUUUGUAUGUAUUAUAUGAAUAAGGAUCGGCUAACUCCGUGCCAGCAGCCGCGGUAAUACGGAGGAUCCGAGCGUUAUCCGGAUUUAUUGGGUUUAAAGGGAGCGUAGGUGGACUGGUAAGUCAGUUGUGAAAGUUUGCGGCUCAACCGUAAAAUUGCAGUUGAUACUGUCAGUCUUGAGUACAGUAGAGGUGGGCGGAAUUCGUGGUGUAGCGGUGAAAUGCUUAGAUAUCACGAAGAAAUCCGAUUGCGAAGGCAGCUCACUGGACUGCAACUGACACUGAUGCUCGAAAGUGUGGGUAUCAAACAGG
rnacentral:rRNA from 1 species